CAACUGUGCCUAGCAACGCAGGGUGUCCCAAAAGUUUUAUUGCAGUUUUAAGCUUUAGAAACUUACAACGGCAGUAAGACUUUUAGGAAGCCCUGUAUAUGCACCUUCCUGAGUC
rnacentral:precursor_RNA from 15 species